rnacentral:rRNA from 1 species
UACGAAGGGGGGCUAGCGUUGCUCGGAAUCACUGGGCGUAAAGGGUGCGUAGGCGGGUCUUUAAGUCAGGGGUGAAAUCCUGGAGCUCAACUCCAGAACUGCCUUUGAUACUGGCAACCUAGAGGCUGGAAGAGGUUAGUGGAAUUCCCCAGUGUAGAGGUGAAAUUCGUAGAUAUUGGGAAGAACACCAGUGGCGAAGGCGGCCAACUGGUCCGGAACUGACGCUGAGGUGCGAAAGCGUGGGGAGCAAACAGG